UAACAAGGAUUCCCCUAGUAACGGCGAGUGAAGCGGGAAGAGCUCAAAUUUGAAAUCUGGCAGUCUUCGAUUGUCCGAGUUGUAAUCUAUAGAGGCGUUUUCCGUGCCGGACCGUGUCCAAGUCUCCUGGAAAGGAGUAUCAAAGAGGGUGAUAAUCCCGUACUUAACACGACCACCGGUGCUCUGUGAUACGUCUUCUACGAGUCGAGUUGUUUGGGAAUGCAGCUCAAAAUGGGUGGUGAAUUCCAUCUAAAGCUAAAUAUUGGCGAGAGACCGAUAGCGAACAAGUACCGUGAGGGAAAGAUGAAAAGCACUUUGGAAAGAGAGUUAAACAGUACGUGAAAUUGUUGAAAGGGAAACGAUUGAAGUCAGUCGUGUUCUUUGGAUUCAGCCAGUUCUGCUGGUCUACUUCCUUGGAACGGGUCAACAUCAGUUUUGUCCGGUGGAUAAAGGUAGUAGGAAUGUGACUUCUCCGGAAGUGUUAUAGCCUAUUAUCACAUACACUGGGUGAGACUGAGGACUGCAGCUCGCCUUUAUGGCCGGCCUUCGGGCACGUUCGAGCUUAGGAUGUUGACAUAAUGGCUUUAAACGACCCGU
rnacentral:rRNA from 1 species